rnacentral:rRNA from 1 species
AACGAACGCUGGCGGCAGGCUUAACACAUGCAAGUCGAGCGCCCCGCAAGGGGAGCGGCAGACGGGUGAGUAACGCGUGGGAAUCUACCUUUUGCUACGGAAUAACGCAGGGAAACUUGUGCUAAUACCGUAUGUGCCCUUCGGGGGAAAGAUUUAUCGGCAAAGGAUGAGCCCGCGUUGGAUUAGCUAGUUGGUGGGGUAAGAGCCUACCAAGGCGACGAUCCAUAGCUGGUCUGAGGGGAUGAUCAGCCACAUUGGGACUGAGACACGGCCCAAACUCCUACGGGAGGCAGCAGUGGGGAAUAUUGGACAAUGGGCGCAAGCCUGAUCCAGCCAUGCCGCGUGAGUGAUGAAGGCCUUAGGGUUGUAAAGCUCUUUCACCGGUGAAGAUAAUGACGGUAAUCGGAGAAGAAGCCCCGGCUAACUUCGUGCCAGCCGCCGCCGUAA